rnacentral:rRNA from 1 species
CUAAGGCUCCAGAGGAAGCCACGGCUAACUCUGUGCCAGCAGCCGCGGUAAUACAGAGGCGGCAAGCGUUGUUCGGAAUUAUUGGGCGUAAAGAGCACGUAGGCGGCCUUGCAAGUCAGUCGUGAAAGCCUUCCGCUUAACGGAAGAAUGCCAGCUGAUACUACAGGGCUUGAGUACGGGAGGGGAGAGUGGAACUUCUGGUGGAGCGGUGAAAUGCGUAGAUAUCAGAAGGAACGCCGGCGGCGAAAGCGACUCUCUGGCCCGAAACUGACGCUGAGUGUGCGAAAGCUAGGGGAGCAAACGGGAUUAGAUACCCCGGUAGUCCUAGCCGUAAA